AUUGAACGCUGGCGGCAGGCCUAACACAUGCAAGUCGAGCGGAUGAAGGGAGCUUGCUCCUGGAUUCAGCGGCGGACGGGUGAGUAAUGCCUAGGAAUAUGCCUGGUAGUGGGGGAUAACGUCCGGAAACGGGCGCUAAUAACGCAUACGUCCUGAGGGAGAAAGUGGGGGAUCUUCGGACCUCACGCUAUCAGAUGAGCCUAGGUCGGAUUAGCUAGUUGGUGGGGUAAAGGCCUACCAAGGCGACGAUCCGUAACUGGUCUGAGAGGAUGAUCAGUCACACUGGAACUGAGACACGGUCCAGACUCCUACGGGAGGCAGCAGUGGGGAAUAUUGGACAAUGGGCGAAAGCCUGGUCCAGCCAUGCCGCGUGUGUGAAGAAGGUCUUCGGAUUGUAAAGCACUUUAAGUUGGGAGGAAGGGCAGUAAGUUAAUACCUUGCUGUUUUGACGUUACCAACAGAAUAAGCACCGGCUAACUUCGUG
rnacentral:rRNA from 1 species